CAUUGCCGAAGAAACAAAAAGAAAUGUUAAUAAAUACAAGAAAUAUGUGUUACGGAGAUGAAACGAAGUAAAAAGCUCAGAAUGAGGCUACAGAAAGUUUUAGGAUUUUUCGUUGCAAGGGUGGUUGCCUCUCUCUCUGCAUUAUUAGCCCAUGAUUUUUCUAUUCACUGUAAGAACCCUAACAGUCCUUUCUUCAGUACUAUUUGUGCAAAUUAUCCCUUUCUUCCCUCUUACGGAGGGAUUAUUAACAGCCUGUUUGGAUUGUUGUUACCGUCAACUUUGGUUGUAUUGUUGUUACCGUCAAUUUUGGUUUUCUUUCUUUUAUGCCUUUGCCGGAGCAUGCAAAUGCUGCUGGUGGAGGUAGUGGAAGCGGUGGUGGUGAGUUUAAUCGGCGGCUAAAAAGAGGCGAUGAUGAUUUUAACAAAUUUUUAAUUCCCUUCUGAGCUUAUUUAUUAAUCGGGGCAUUUGAGAUUAUCCGACCCGUAUCUUGGCGGGGCAUGGUUUUUGCAGCCAUGGCGUCCUUGGAAUCUCCUGUUGCCCUAGCUUUAAAACAGAUCUGAGCCUCACUUUUCUCUAUUGGCCUAUUGGGAAAUGGAUGUAGGCGGAGGUGGAUUCAGUAUUUGAAUGUUACAGCUUGUUUGGAUGGUUGUUACAUAAUGUAGUACUAAAUUAUGUUGUACUGUAUUGUUUUGAAGAUACAACUUUAAGCACUAAACUCACAGUGCCUUUGGAAUUAUGAGUUUAGAAUCUAACAUGAAAAUGUGAGGUAGCAGUGAAAGCAGAGAGCUGUAGGGAGUUUCAAUGGGUGGUUUUGCCCCUCUCUGUCAUUCUCUGCUGCCGAUGAUCACUCAAAUGAUAAAUCUUUCCAAUUAUAAAAACCACCCUUUUGGUGAAAAUACAUAAUGACCUUGCUAGUUUCCUGUUCUUGUUAUUCUUUCCGUUUCAAUUUAGGUGACGCAAUGAGGCUACGAAGAUUUUACUCUUCUGUGGAAGAUGAAUCAGAAUUUUUUCUCUUGAGUUGAAUAAACUGUAUCCUGGCAUGGCAGGUCAGAUGGGUCUGAGAUUUGAAGGGAAAAGUUCCAUUUUUGGUUUUUCUUCUGUCUCAUAAGGCUAACUGUUGCUUGCAGCCAUUGCAUGUUUUAAAGCUCUUUUGGUUUUGUCUGAAAACAGGGGAAUUUUGAGCCUCCCCGUUGCCUUGAUUGUGCUAAAAGAAUGAGUCUCUAAGGUUGGCUGCUUUUUCUCUGUGAGUUCAUAGUUGAUGAAUAUUCUUGGUGUAAAGACAAGUUAUGCCGGCAUGAUGAGCAUGAUCGAUUGCUUCAAAGAGGCGAUGUUGAUUUUGUAAAUCUAUCAUUCCCUUCUAAGCUUAUUAAUCACGCAUUUGUAAUUAUCUGGCACGUAUCUUGGCAGGGCAUGCCCCCAGUUUUUCUGGUGAUUUUUGCAGCCAUGGCGUUGUCGAAUCUAUUUUUGCUUGAGCUAUAACACAGAUCUGAGGCUCAAAGAGGAAACACAAAAAUGGUGAAAAUCUGAUUAGCUUAAGUCUGAGGCUGCGAUGAAAGCAGAGAUCAGUGGGGAGUUUUUAUGGGUGGUUUUGCACCUCUCUGUCAUUCUCGGCUGCCGAUGAUCAAUGAUAAACUUUUCUGAUUGCAAAACCACCCUUUUUGUGAAAUUUCACAUGAUCUUCCUCUUUUCCUUUUCCUGUUACUCACCCUGUUUCAAUUAUAAGCAAUGAGACUAUGAAGAUUUUAUCGUCUGCGGAAGAUGAGAAGAUGAAUCAGACAUAUUUCUAUUGAGCUGAAGAAAACUGUAACUUGGCGUGGCAGCUCGGAUGGGUCUGUGAGAUAUGGGGGGAGAGGUUCCAUUUGUGGUAUUUGUUCUGUGUCUCAUAAGGCUAAUUGAUGCUUGCAGCCAUGACAGUUUUCAAAGUUUCCUACCCAGAGGUUCUACCAGGAAAGCAAAGAGGUUGAGCAUAGCCUAGAGAAUGAGGCAUCAGAGAGAUUGGGAUUUUUUGUAAAGGGUGGUUGCCCCUCUCUGCUAUGCCCGUGAUUUCUCCAUUGAUAACCAAAUAGACCAACAGCCCUUCCAAAUAAGAAGAAUUAACCUAUAUAGCCGCCCACCCAACUGCUUAAACUAAAAAUAGCAGUCGGAUAUAUAAGAUAUGUAUAAUUCAUGUAACAUUUGUAUAACCAUGUUUAAUUAGCGUAUAAUCAAUGUAUACCGGCUAGGAAAAGUAAUGGUGAAUCCGGUCGGCUAUUUGUGUAAAGAUCCUUUAAACAAGAAAAAAAUAAAAUCCUUCAUCCAAACACACCUUUGUACUCUUCUUCGUCUUCCUCUUCUCUUUGUGCUGCUGCUACUGAUGCUUUAAAGGGGCUGUGAUGAUUGCUUACGUUUCGGGCUUUGUUCAAUUACGGCAUUGAGAAAAUACUGUCCUGUAUCUUGGCGAUGCGACACGGUAUGGCUUUGUAUAGCAAACUGGUGUCCGCAGCCAUGGCGGCAUUGCCUUCUCUUUUGCUUAGUUCAAAUACGGCAAAUCUGAGCCCUUAAUGCCCAUUUCAUGUUCUUCAAUGGCAAGUCCAUUAUUCUCUUUUGAGUUUUAAUCAAAAAACUCUCGUAAGUCUCAUUUUAUGACUGUAACCGAGACUUUUUAACCGAAAGGACCGUGUUAUUCCUGAUUUAAGAAACUAGCUCUUCCUUCUCUUUUUGUUUUUCUCUCUCACUAUCCCACAGGGAAUUUGUAUACAGAGAAGAGGGAAAAUAGAGCUAGGGAAUUUUGAGGUGAAAAAACCAAAGAAUUUCCCAUAAAAGGAAAAGGUUAGCCAGAAAGGAAAGAAAUGAGGCAAAACAGAGAGUAUUGGGAUUUUUUUUAAAAGGGUGGUUGCGGCCGAGGGUAUCCGAAAUAGCCUCUCUACCUGAUACAAGGUAGGGGUAAGGUCUGCGUACACCUUACCCCUAAAAUAGAGCUAGGGAAUUUUGAGGUGAAAAAACCAAAGAAUUUCCCAUAAAAGGAAAAGGUUAGCCAGAAAGGAAAGAAAUGAGGCAAAACAGAGAGUAUUGGGAUUUUUUUUAAAAGGGUGGUUGCGACCGAGGGUCUAUCCGAAAUAGCCUCUCUACCUGACACAAGGUAGGGGUAAGGUCUGCGUACACCCCACCCUCCCCUGAUCCUACUUGUGGGAUCACACUGGGUAUGUUGUUGUUGCUGUUUAAAAGGGUGGUUGCCCCUCUCUAUUCCGCCUUUGAUUUUCCUCUACUAUCAAACAGCCAACAGCCCUUUGUUUAUGAGAAAAACAGAUAUUGGAAAUGGAUUUAACUUACACUGACAUCUCUGUCUUUCCUCCGCGCGCACGUGUGUGUGUGUGUGUGUGUGUGUGACUGUGUAUUGUUUUUUCAGUGUGGAUAGAAGGUACAUAAAGAGGCAGUGAUGAUGAUGUUACUAUAUCCGAUCUAACGAAUUUGGGGAUGGAGUUAACUUGACCCGUAUCUUUGCAUGGGUAACCCGAUAUGGCAUGUGAUUGAGACUUCUUUCUCUGAAAUGCAACUGGUGUUUGCAGCAAUGGCGUGGCUGGCUUCUCUUUUCCCUUAUCAAUAUCGCACAUCUGAGCCCCAUUUGCUGAAAAGAAAAAAAAACAUAAUCUUUUCCGUGAUUCAAUGUUGGAUAUGUGAACUGUGGCACUUUCUGCUACAAGUUAUCAGCCCAAAAAGAAAUGAUGCAUAACAAAGAGUUAGGGAUUUUCUUUAAUGGGUGGUUGCCCCUCUCUGUUCUGCCGUGAUUUUCCUUUAUUCACAAAAAACCAACAGCCAUUGUCAUGGAAAUAACAGAAACAUAAAGAAUACUCCUCCUCCUAGUACUACUACAUAUCUGCCUUUCCUCUGUGUGUGGUGUGUUGUUUUUUAGGUGUUGAUGGAAGGUACAUAAAGAGGCAGUGAUGAUGAUGAAGUUUAUAUAUCUGGGCUAAUCAAUUAGGGCAUGGAGAUUAUCUGACCUCGUAUCUUGGCUUGGCAACUUGGUAUAGCCUGUGACUGAGUCGUCUCUCUCUCACAUGCAACCAAUGUUUGCAGUCAUGGCGUGGCUGACUUCUUAUUUGCCUUAUCAUAACACACAUCUGAGUCGUUAAACAGUGGCCUCAAAUUAUCCUAUUUGUGCAAAUCUUGCUUUUCUUUUAUGGGCUAUGUUCAAUAACAUCAUUGAGAAAAUAUCCGACCCGUAUCUUGGGGGCGACCCGGUAAUGUAGCAAACUGGUGUCUGCAGCCAUGGCGUCGUCGCCUUCUCUUUUGCUUUGUCCGAAAGGCCCAUGUAAGUCUUGAUUUAAGAGAUUAACCCUUCCUCGGGGGAUUUAUAUCUAUCUAUCUAUAUCUAUCUAUAUCUGUACUAUUAUAAAAGCACGAAGGCCAAGCUAAAUGUUAUGGCUUUUUUACCCAAGGCUUAUCCAGAGACUAGCACAUAGAAAAAAGAGGGAAAGGAGAACCGGGAAACUUGGAGAUGAAAAAACCAAAAUAUUUACCCAAAACGAAUGGUUAGCUCAGAAAGAAAGAAAUGAGGCAAAAUAGAGAGUUUGGGAUGUUCUUUAAAGGGUGGUUUCCCCUCUCUGUUCCGCCAUUGAUUUUUCGUCCAUUAUUAAACAACCAACAACCCUUUGUUUUUAGAACUGGCAGAAACUGCAAAAAGAAUUUUACUUAUAUACACUGUCAUCUGUGUCUUUCCUCUGUGUUUGUUUUUUAUGGUGUUGAUGGAAGGUGCAUAAAGAGGAAGUGAUGAAGAUGUUUCUAUAUAUGGGCUAACCAACUAGGGCAUAGAGAUUAUCCAACCCGUAUCUUGGCGUGGCAACUCGGUAUGGCCUGUGACUGAGACUUUUCUGUCUCUCAUGCAACCGCUAUUUGCAGCCAUGACGUGCCUGGCUUCUCUUUUGCUUUAUCAUAAGACACAUCUGAGACCCAUUUGCUUGAGAGAAAAAAAAAAUCAGAAUUUUUUCCAUGAUUCAAUGUCGGGAUAUGUCUAACCUGCGACUUUCUACUACAAGUUAUAAAGCAUCUUGCAGUCCUAAUCCAUCACCAUAUUUGUUCAGUAUCAGCUGAGCAUAGCCUAUCAAGAAAGAAGAAUGAGGCAUCAGAGAGAUGGAUUUUCUGUAUAGGGUGGUAACCCCUCUCUGUUAUGCCUGUGAUUUCUCCAUUCAUAACCAAAAAUACCAACAGCCCUUUGGAAUAAACAAGAAAAAGAAGAAGAAGAAAUCCGUCAACCAAAGACACCGGUGUACUCCUCUUCCUCUUCACUAUGUGCUGCUGCUACUGAUGCUGUAAGAGGCUGUGAAGAUUGCUUUCCUUUCUGGGAUAUGUUCAAUCUUGUCAUUAAGAAAGUUUCGAGUCGUAUCUUGGCGGUGCGGCCUGGUAUGGCUUUAUGUAGCAAACUGGUGUCUGCAGCCAUGGCAGUGUCGCCUACUCUUUUGCUUUGUAAAGUAGAAGUGUCUAAAUGACAAUUCGUGCCAAGUUUGAGGAGCUGCCUAUGUAUUUGGCCUAUCUGAAAUAACAACACAAUACAAUGGUUAACAACCAUCAAAAGAAGCUGUUAGGGUUCGUUUGAUUUAGAGACAAGUUAUGCCGGAGGUGGGGAGAGUGAUUGAUGCCUCGAAAGAUGCGAUGAUGAUUUUGCAUAUCUUUCAUUCCCUUCUGAGCUUAGUAAUUGAGCAUUUGAGAUUAUCCGUCCCAUACCUUGGCGGGGCAUGUUCCAGAUUUGGUGGUUUUUGCAGCCAUGGUGUCGUCGGAUCUCUUUUGCUUGAGCUAUAACACACAUCUGAGCCUCAAAAGGGAAACAUAAAGAUGGUGAUUAGUUUGAGUCUGAGACUGCGGUGAGAGCAAAGAGCUUUGGGGAAUUUCAAUGGGUGGUUUUGCCACUCUGUCAUUCUACGCUGCCGAUGAUCUCUCAAAUGAAAAAUUUUCCAAUUGCAAAACCACCAGUAGUUGAUUGAUUCAUUACUCCUUCGAUGCCAUUUAUCAGAGGCUAUGAAGAUUGCUGUUUCUGAAAGAUGAAUCAGACAUUUUCCUCUGAGCUGAAAAGACUGUUUAGGCGUUUGGGCAAAAUUUGGUUGACAUUGAAAAACAAUAAUUGUAUCUUGGCAUGGCAGCUCAGAUUGGUCUGUGAGAUGUGGAGAGAAAAGAUCCAUUUUUGGUGUUUGUUCUCCAUCUCCUAAGGCCAACUGAUGCCAUGCAGCCAUGACAGUUAUUAAAAGCUCUUUGGAUUUUGUUUGAAAAAAAGUGUAUCUGAGCCUACCUCAUUACCUUGAUUAUUCUAAAAAAGGAGGCUUUUGUGACUCUGAGAAUGCAUGAAUUCCUAAGGGUGGUUGCUCUGUUUCUCUGUGAGUUCAUAGCCGAUGAAUUCUUUUGUGAUCUACAGCCUUGCACUGCAAAAUGCUAAUGAUUGUGGACCAUCUCAUCUAAUAUUUUAAGCUGUUAGAUGGAGAGUACACUUCUGUUAAUUAUAUUAUAUCUCGACAAUGAUGAUGAUGAUGAUUAUGCUGAUAAAUCAAUCAACUAUAGCUCAUUCCCUAAUUGUUGUGGUUGGCUGUAUGAAUCCAUUCCUGUCUAAACCCUAAACCUAAUCAAUGAGGCUGUUAUGAUUUUAUCCAGUAAGCUUGAAAUCUCGGAUAUUUGAGCUGAUUUGUAUCUUGGCUUGGCAAAGUUCAGGGAAAGUUUUGGGAGCUGGUUUUAUUUCCUGUCUCGCAAAAGCUCUGGCCUUUGCAGCCAUGGCAGAUUAGCCUUUUUCUGAUAGUCUUAGGCAAUUCUGAGCCUCAUUUCUUUCUUUCUACCUGCCUAUUUCUUCUACAAUAGUAUAGCCUUUUUUUUUCCUUUUUAUUUAUUUUUGCAUUUCUCCGACAUUGUCACCCUCUUCGCAACAAGAACAACACUUCAAUAUCAAACAAGCUACUGUCAGAUAUAGGAAUACUUACUAUCUAUCCAUCCCCAUUUGGACUCGUUUCAUUCCAAUAUUCAAUAGUUUGAGGUUUUCUAACGCUUAGUGAAAAGCAUUAGUUUAAGUUGGCAUGUUCAUUUUUUCCAUUACCACAUAUCCUAAUGUGGAGCAAUAAUAACUGCCUGUUUAUCACUAGUACAUCUCUUAUGAAGAAGGCUUUGAAUUGGCUACACUUUGGUUAAUUGGUAAAUGGGGAUAUCCUUGAGCCUUAAUAGCACUGAACUUUUACUUGACAUUAUCAAACCUUCUGCUUUGAUGGUUAUCAAAGGUGGCAUUACAAAUGGCAGUCGUGAUGGCUUCGAUUAUAUCAAGAUUGCUCGGUCCAAGGUAUUCAGCAUCGUUGAAGACAAAGUUACAGGUUAAAGAGAAUUUCCGAGAAGCUUUAUUCUUUGUUCAUAUGAGUUGCUAAAUUCAUGAAGCAUUCUGGCGCUGUGGUUAUUGGGAGGAGUUCAGCUGAAGACCGCCAGAGUGCAACUCCAUCUUUUGUCAGUUGUAUUAGAACGUCAAUAAUGUCAGCACCUUCUUUAGUGCUUUCCCAUAGGCAAGAUAAGUUGCUCUCUGGAUAUUCUCCGUCGACUGCAUUUCAAGUAAUAAACAAAGUUGGCAAUUUAGCGGUAUCUUAUUAAUGCACAGAUGUUCUGAAAUCCUUUUUAAGGAUCCAAACACCAUUGGUAUUAGAUCCUCUUUUAAGUUUCCAAGAACCAGUGAAUUAGUACCCUCUGGCAAGUUCUAAGUUGAGAUUGUAUUCUUAAUUGGGACUUCCCCAGAAACAUUCUGGCUUUUACAUUCUGGCCAUUGAAGCUGCCAUAAAAAGGAACUAUAAGCGUGAAAUAACAACAACAACAAUAAACCUGGUGUAGUCCCACAAGUGGGGUCUAGGGAGGAUAGAAUGUAUGCAGACCUUACCCCUGCCUUUAAAAAGGCGGAGAGACUGUUUUCGGAUAAGCAUGGGUCUUUAAAAAGGCGGAGAGACUGUUUUCGGAUAAGCGUGGGCCUUUAAAAAGGCGGAGAGACUGUUUUCGGAUAAGCGUGGAAUACCGGUAUGUAAAUAACCUCUGUUUAUGUUUUAUCUGUAAUUGAGAAGAUCUCCAUCUUAUUGUAGGGAUUUUGGGA